rnacentral:rRNA from 1 species
CAGUCGCCGCGGUAAAACGUAGGGUGCAAGCGUUAAUCGGAAUUACUGGGCGUAAAGCGUGCGCAGGCGGUGUUGUAAGACUGAUGUGAAAUCCCCGGGCUCAACCUGGGAACUGCAUUGGUGACUGCAACGCUGGAGUGCGGCAGAGGGGGAUGGAAUUCCGGUGUAGCGGUGAAAUGCGUAGAUAUGCGGAGGAACACCGAUGGCGAAGGCAAUCCCCUAGGCCUGUACUGACGCUCAUGCACGAAAGCGUGGGGAGCAAACAGGAUUAGAGACCCCAGUAGUCCCUGUCUCUUAUACC